CAAUCGAACCCGGAGAUAGCUGGUUCUCCUCGAAAUAGCUUUAGGGCUAGCCUCGCUGAUAAGUCUUUCGCAGGUAGAGCACUGAAUUCUUGAGGGGGCGUCAAAGUCUACCAAGAGAUAUCAAACUCCGAAUGGCGGUAAGAUAUAAGCGGGAGUCAGACUGCGGGAUAUAAAUUCCGUAGUCAAAAGGGAAACAGCCCAGAUCUACAGCUAAGGUCCCAAAGUACAUGUUAAGUGGUAAAGGAUGUGGGAUUUCAUAGACAACUAGGAUGUUGGCUUAGAAGCAGCCACACAUUCAAAGAGUGCGUAAUAGCUCACUAGUCGAGAGGUCCUGCGCCGAAAAUUAACGGGGCUAAAACAUGACACCGAAGCUUAGGGAUGUAGUAAUACAUCGGUAGAGGAGCAUUGAAAACACGUAGAAGCGGUACCGGAAGGAGCCGUGGAGAGUUUUGAAGAGAGAAUGCCGGAAUGAGUAGCGAGAUGGAGGUGAGAAUCCUCCAGGCCGAAUAUCUAAGGUUUCCAGGGUAAAGCUGAUCUGCCCUGGGUAAGUCGGGGCCUAAGGCGAGGCUGAGAAGCGUAGUCGAUGGACAACUGGUGUAGAUUCCAGUACCUUACUAAAUCAGAAAUGUGGGGACACAUGGAGAAAGAGAGAGCCGGGAAUGAGAAGACCGGUGCAAGGGAGGUAGGAGUGUAGUAGGAAAAACCGCUAUACAAUCUGAAGACCUGAUGCGGAUCGAAAAGAAGUAGAGAAGCUCUUGGACUCUGUGGCGAGAAAAGCCGCUAUUGUGUUUAGUAAGCCCGUACCGCAAACCGACACAGGUAGAUGAGGAGAGAAUCCUAAGGCCGGCGGGAGAAGCAUUGUUAAGGAACUCGGCAAAAUGACCCCGUAACUUCGGGAGAAGGGGUGCCCAGGCAACUGGGCCGCAGAGAAAAGGCUCAAGCAACUGUUUAGCAAAAACACAGGUCUAUGCGAAACCGUAAGGUAAAGUAUAUGGGCUGACGCCUGCCCGGUGCUGGAAGGUUAAGAGGAGAGGUUAGCGCAAGCGAAGCUUUGAAUUGAAGCCCCAGUAAACGGCGGCCGUAACUAUAACGGUCCUAAGGUAGCGAAAUUCCUUGUCGGGUAAGUUCCGACCCGCACGAAAGGCGUAAUGAUUUGAGCGCUGUCUCAACAAUGCACCCGGUGAAAUUGAAGUACCAGUGAAGAUGCUGGUUACCCGCGCCAGGACGGAAAGACCCCAUGGAGCUUUACUCCAGCUUGAUACUGGGAUUCGGUAAUGUAUGCACAGGAUAGGUGGGAGACGAAGAAGAUAGAACUUCGGUUUUAUCAGAGUCGCUGUUGGGAUACCACCCUUAUGUUAUUGGAUUUCUAACCUUAGGCCGUAAACCGGUCAAGGGACAAUGUCAGGUGGGGAGUUUGACUGGGGCGGUCGCCUCCGAAAGUGUAUCGGAGGCGCUCAAAGGUUCCCUCAGGAUGGUUGGAAACCAUCCAAAGAGUGUAAAGGCAUAAGGGAGCUUGACUGCGAGGGCGACGGUCCGAGCAGAGUAGAAAUACGGACUUAGUGAUCCGGUGGUAUGAAAGUGGGAUUGCCAUCGCUCAACGGAUAAAAGCUACCCUGGGGAUAACAGGCUGAUCUCCCCCAAGAGUUCACAUCGACGGGGAGGUUUGGCACCUCGAUGUCGGCUCAUCGCAUCCUGGGGCUGUAGUCGGUCCCAAGGGUUGGGCUGUUCGCCCAUUAAAGCGGUACGCGAGCUGGGUUCAGAACGUCGUGAGACAGUUCGGUCCCUAUCCGGCGCGGGCGUAGGAUAUUUGAGAGGAUCUGUCCUUAGUACGAGAGGACCGGGAUGGACUGACCUCUGCUGUACCUGUUGGGAAUCAAUCCCAUAGCAGGGUAGGCAAGUUGGGAAUGGAUAAACGCUGAAGGCAUCUAAGCGUGAAGCCAACCUCAAGAUGAGAUAUCCCAUCGCAAGAGUAAGACCCCUUGAAGAGAACGAGGUAGAUAGGACUGAGGUGUAAGUGUAGCAAUACAUUCAGCUGACAGUUACUAAUAGGUCGAGGGCUUAUCCAA
rnacentral:rRNA from 1 species